rnacentral:misc_RNA from 1 species
GAAAUGCGAUAAGUAAUGUGAAUUGCAGAAUUCAGUGAAUCAUCGAAUCUUUGAACGCAACUUGCGCUCCUUGGUAUUCCUUGGAGCAUGCCUGUUUGAGUAUCAUGAAAUCUUCAAAGUAAAUCUUUUGUUAACUCAAUUGGUUUCUACUUUGGUAUUGGAGGUCUUUGCAGCUUCACACCUGCUCCUCUUUGUUCUUUAGCUGGAUCUCAGUGUUAUGCUUGGUUCCACUCGGCGUGAUAAGUUAUCUAUCGCUGAGGACACUGUAAAAGGUGGCCAAGGUAAAUGCAGAUGAACCGCUUCUAAUAGUCCAUUGACUUGGACAAUACUUUUAUGAUCUGAUCUCAAAUCAGGUAGGACUACCCGCUGAACUUAAGC